CCAGGGCUUACAGACUACCAUUGCACAGGAUCAUUCAUGCGGUUGGACCAGCCUACGAUGGAGCCGAGGAAACGCCUACAUUGCUUGCUCAGACUUACAGGCGUUGUCUGCAACGUGCAAAGGAGAUUGAACUGGAAUGUCUGGCGUUUCCACCGAUUUCUUGUGGCGUUUACGGAUACCCCGUGAGGGAAGGAGCUCGGAUUGCGUUGCAGGAAAUCAAAGAUCCUCCUUCGUGUAUCAACGAGAUCCACUUUGUUCUCAGUGAUCCGAGCGAUUAUGUCACCUGGGUUUCGGAAGCAAACAAUGUACUUGGUUACUAAAGAACUGUAAAUCUCUACAAGGUUUCUACAUCAAAGCCUUGAAAGUCUCCAAUUAACAGAGAUAGAGCUGGAUCUCAUGUAAAGCUCGAGAUAUAGAUUAAGAUCUCCCUUGGAAGGGAAUAACGACACUUUGGACUGUGUAAAAGAAAACUUAAAAGCGAAAGCACCAAAACCA